UACGGGGGGGGCAAGCGUUGUUCGGAAUUACUGGGCGUAAAGGGCUCGUAGGCGGCCAUCUAAGUCAGACGUGAAAUCCCUCGGCUUAACCGGGGAACUGCGUCUGAUACUGGUUGGCUUGAAUCCGGGAGAGGGAUGUGGAAUUCCAGGUGUAGCGGUGAAAUGCGUAGAUAUCUGGAGGAACACCGGUGGCGAAGGCGGCAUCCUGGACCGGUAUUGACGCUGAGGAGCGAAAGCCAGGUGAGCAAACGGG
rnacentral:rRNA from 1 species